rnacentral:rRNA from 2 species
CUCUCAUCCCAUAAGGGAGUAAGGUCACCCGCAGAACACGGGUUAAUAGGUUCUAGAUGGAAGUCCAGUAAUGGGCGAAGUCGAGGAAUACUAACAGACCGAGGGCUUGUCCUA